UAAUCUAUUUGGGGCAAAUCAUCAUUUAGUUAUGGCAGACUCAUGCCUGAUUGCUCAGGAUUACCCACUACUGUAUGAACAAUAACAUAUUUGAAAGAAAAACUUUAUAAAAUUGGAGUCUAUUUUUAAGUUUACAAGUUGGAC
rfam:Populus trichocarpa isolate Nisqually-1 chromosome 7, whole genome shotgun sequence.